AAAAAACUGGUUGAGUGGUAGAGCCUUACACUUAAAUUUAAAUUUAGCAAAAGGCAAAAAUCAAAAUAUUAUAGCAAAAACUUGUUUAUGUACUUUAUUAGUUGUUUUCCAUAUUUUAAAGGUAAAAGUUCAAUUUUAAUGUUUUUUU